rnacentral:rRNA from 1 species
UACGUAGGGUGCAAGCGUUGUCCGGAAUUAUUGGGCGUAAAGAGCUCGUAGGCGGUUUGUCGCGUCUGCUGUGAAAGCCCGGGGCUCAACCCCGGGUCUGCAGUGGGUACGGGCAGACUAGAGUGCAGUAGGGGAGACUGGAAUUCCUGGCGUAGCGGUGAAAUGCGCAGAUAUCAGGAGGAACACCGAUGGCGAAGGCAGGUCUCUGGGCUGUAACUGACGCUGAGGAGCGAAAGCAUGGGGAGCGAACAGG